rnacentral:rRNA from 1 species
AACGAACGUUGGCGGCGUGGAUUAGGCAUGCAAGUCGAGCGAAUCCCCGCAAGGGGGGAAGCGGCGAAAGGGGCAGUAAGGCAUGGGUAACCUACCCUGGGGACUGGGAUAGCCCUUCGAGAGAAGGGGUAAUACCGGGCGAUGUGCCGGGCCGGCAUCGGUCAGUCACCAAAUGAGUUUCGCCCUGGGGGGGGCCCAUGUGAUAUUAGCUAGUUGGUGAGGUAACGGCUCGCCAAGGCGAAGAUGUCUAGCGGGUGUGAGAGCACGACCCGCGCCACUGGCACUGAGACACUGGCCAGACACCUACGGGUGGCUGCAGUCGAGGAUCUUCGGCAAUGGGCGCAAGCCUGACCGAGCGACGCCGCGUGUGCGAUGAAGGCCUUCGGGUUGUAAAGCACUGUCGAGAGGGAGAAAAGCGAAAGCUUGAUCUAUCUCUGGAGGAAGCACGGGCUAAGUUCGUGCCAGCAGCCGCGGUAAGACGAACCGUGCGAACGUUGUUCGGAAUCACUGGGCUUAAAGGGCGCGUAGGCGGGUCUUCAAGUUUGGGGUGAAAUCCUCCGGCUCAACCGGAGAACUGCCUCGAAUACUGAAGGUCUCGAGGGGGAUAGGGGCAUGCGGAACUACGGGUGGAGCGGUGAAAUGCGUUGAUAUCCGUAGGAACUCCGGUGGCGAAUGCGGCGUGCUGGAUCCCUUCUGACGCUGA